CUCUGGUUCCUUAGUCCAACGGAUCUGACGCACUGAAGGCUGGACAUUGGCAGAUAUCAUCUAUGAUGAAAAAGCCUCCCUUGCGAGACGAGAAUCUUCACCAUCUGAAUCAUGAGUGCCGGUGCCCGUCGUCAGUCCCUUCUCUCUCCGUUACUGGACCUGGAUCUGGAUCUGGACACUCAUUACCAGCUUGUGCAUCUCACUGCUGAUAUCAUGAUGCUACUUAACUAUCUUCGCAGCACCCGCUCUAGGAAUGGAGAUCCAGGGUUCCCCCCUCUUCUU